CUGCAGCCAGUUAGGUUGACCAGCUUCCUCGCUGGGCCUGGUAUGCUGGAAGCAGCGUCUUCCAAGGCAGUGUAUGCAGCCUGGUGCUUGCACCGGUUGCCCCACGAGAUGCUGGACAGUU
rnacentral:snoRNA from 1 species